rnacentral:rRNA from 1 species
AUGAUGGCCAGGCUGUCUCCACCCGAGACUCAGUGAAAUUGAACUCGCUGUGAAGAUGCAGUGUACCCGCGGCAAGACGGAAAGACCCCGUGAACCUUUACUAUAGCUUGACACUGAACAUUGAGCCUUGAUGUGUAGGAUAGGUGGGAGGCUUUGAAGCGUGGACGCCAGUCUGCGUGGAGCCAACCUUGAAAUACCACCCUUUAAUGUUUGAUGUUCUAACGUUGGCCCCUGACCGGGGUUGCGGACAGUGUCUGGU